rnacentral:rRNA from 1 species
AACGUAGGAGGCGAGCGUUAUCCGGAUUCACUGGGCGUAAAGCGCAUGUAGGUGGUUCGUUAAGUCGAGUGUGAAAGCCCCUGGCUCAACUGGGGGAGGUCACUCGAAACUGGCGGGACUGGAGGGUCCGAGAGGAGUGUGGAAUUCCCGGUGUAGCGGUGGAAUGCGUAGAGAUCGGGAGGAACACCAGUGGCGCAAGCGGCACUCUGGCGGACACCUGACACUGAGAUGCGAAAGCGUGGGGAGCAAACGGG